rnacentral:rRNA from 1 species
UUGUAAUUUGUAGAAGGUGCUUCGGGUGCGACGGCGGUCCAAGUCCCCUGGAAUUGGGCGUCAUAGAGGGUGAGAAUCCCGUACAGGCCGCAUGUCAAUCCCGUGUGAAGCCCUUUCGACGAGUCGAGUUGUUUGGGAAUGCAGCUCUAAAUGGGUGGUAAAUUUCAUCUAAAGCUAAAUAUCUGCGAGAGACCGAUAGCGCACAAGUAGAGUGAUCGAAAGAUGAAAAGCACUUUGAAAAGAGAGUGAAACAGCACGUGAAAUUGUUGAAAGGGAAGCGCUUGCAACCAGACUCGCUCGCGGGUGCUCAGCCGUCCCUCGGGGCGGUGCACUCUCCCGCGAUCGGGCCAGCAUCGGUUCUGGCGGUCGGACAAAGGCCCUGGGAACGUAGCUCUCUUCGGGGAGUGUUAUAGCCCGGGGUGCAAUGCGGCCUGCUGGGACCGAGGACCGCGCUUUUGCUAGGAUGCUGGCGUAAUGGUUGCCAGCGACCCGUCUUGAAACACGG